rnacentral:rRNA from 1 species
AUGGUCUCAUUUGUUUGUCUGCAAAUACAUUCACUGGCCUUUUCAAAAGUUGGAGCUAUAAAUGAUUCUGUGACCAUGAGGGACAUGCUUAUCAUGAUGCCUCGUGGAUUUGGAUUUGUUACAUUUUCUAUCCAACAUUUCCUGAGAAGUAUUAUUCUCUUUGCGCAUUGUAUUUUUGUAGUUGCCUUACUUCUUUGCUUGUUUUUAGUGGACUGUAGAUCUAUGCCCUUUGUUCCUUGUCUAGAUCCUGGUAGGUCCUGCAAUUGUUGUUCCUUUGUGCAUUUCUUUUCCUUUGCUUGUUUUAUUUAUUGCUUCUUUUUAUUGUGCAACCAUAGGGAAUUUUAG